rnacentral:tRNA from 2 species
GCGGGGAUGCCCGAGCCAGGUCAAAGGGGGUGGGCAGGACACCUACUGGCUAUGCCUACAUGGGUUCGAAUCCCAUUCCCCGCA